rnacentral:tRNA from 1 species
GCCCAGAUAGCUCAGUUGGUAGAGCACGUUCUUGGUAAGGACGAGGUCGUCGGUUCGAAUCCGAUUCUGGGCUCCA